CGGAGGCAGCAGUGAGGAAUUUUGGACAAUGGGCGCAAGCCUGAUCCAGCCAUGCCGCGUGCGGGAAGAAGGCCUCCGGGUUGUAAACCGCUUUUGUCAGGGAAGAAAUCCUUUGGGCUAAUACCCCGGGGGGAUGACGGUACCUGAAGAAUAAGCACCGGCUAACUACGUGCCAGCAGCCGCGGUAAUACGUAGGGUGCAAGCGUUAAUCGGAAUUACUGGGCGUAAAGCGUGCGCAGGCGGUUGUGUAAGACAGAUGUGAAAUCCCCGGGCUCAACCUGGGAACUGCAUUUGUGACUGCACAGCUGGAGUGCGGCAGAGGGGGAUGGAAUUCCGCGUGUAGCAGUGAAAUGCGUAGAUAUGCGGAGGAACACCGAUGGCGAAGGCAAUCCCCUGGGCCUGCACUGACGCUCAUGCACGAAAGCGUGGGGAGCAAACAGGAUUAGAUACCCUGGUAGC
rnacentral:rRNA from 1 species